GACGAACGCUGGCGGCGUGCUUAACACAUGCAAGUCGAACGGAAAGGCCCUGCUUUUGUGGGGUGCUCGAGUGGCGAACGGGUGAGUAACACGUGAGUAACCUGCCCUUGACUUUGGGAUAACUUCAGGAAACUGGGGCUAAUACCGGAUAGGAGCUCCUGCUGCAUGGUGGGGGUUGGAAAGCUUCGGCGGUUGGGGAUGGACUCGCGGCUUAUCAGCUUGUUGGUGGGGUAGUGGCUUACCAAGGCUUUGACGGGUAGCCGGCCUGAGAGGGUGACCGGCCACAUUGGGACUGAGAUACGGCCCAGACUCCUACGGGAGGCAGCAGUGGGGAGUAUUGCACAAUGGGCGGAAGCCUGAUGCAGCAACGCCGCGUGCGGGAUGACGGCCUUCGGGUUGUAAACCGCUUUCGCCUGUGACGAAGCGUGAGUGACGGUAAUGGGUAAAGAAGCACCGGCUAACUACGUG
rnacentral:rRNA from 1 species